UGAUGACCUCAUCAUUGAGCCACUGACCU
rnacentral:piRNA from 1 species